UUUGGCUUUACAAUUUUUUUUCCUCUUUCAUUUCUUUCUUUCUUUUACUGUUAAUUAUAUGAUUGUGAUAAUGUUAUUGUUAAUAUUGAUGAUAAUCGGGCCGGAAGUAUUGGUCAAGUUCAAUCAAAUGAUAGUCUAAGGUGUUUCAUUAUUCAGCUCAAGUGAACAAUAAGUAUACAAUAAAGAAAUAAUCAACAAUGAUAAUGAUCAAGUAGGAUACCAAGGAAGUGAUGAAGAGGAGAGGAUACCUUUUAAUUAUGAAAUAAGACAUGAUGAUCAUGGCCAUCAAUGUAUGAUGAGAGUCUUAAAAUCUAAUGAUGCAAAAAUGAAGCCAACAAAGGAGUAUGAAAAGAGGAUUAUUGUCAUUUUGGAUAUAAAGUUAUGGUGAUGUCUCUCUUUCUUUUUGUCUUUCCCUUCCAUUCUUCUUCUUCUCAUCAUCAUGGUCUCAUCUUUCUUACCUACUAUCAGUUUGUAUAUUACAUCUUUAACUGUUGAUACGUUUGGAUAUUUUGAUCAAGGCUUUUCAUUUAUUAUGUAGUCGUAUUUUUCAUGGCAAGCUCAGAUUUUAUAUCAAUGCAUUUUUACAAGUUCAUCAUUCUGAAGAGCUGAUAAAGGCUUGCAAAUGUAUUUUUUCAAUGCAAAUCAAUGGACUUGCCUUAGGUUUAUCUUUCUGCAUGAAACCACAUGUAAAAAGAAUGCAAACUGCAUAGGAAAUGAAGAGCCUUGAUUCUGAUUACCGAAUAUCGUUAUUAUCACUCGGGUUGUUACUUUGGUUACCUUUUUACAAAGCCAAUGCCCAGGUAGUUGAACUUUUUCCACACAUUUAGUAUCAACUUCGUCACCAGCUGAUGGGACCACCACCUAAUAUGAGGUCAAAUGAUUGAUAAACCUUUUCUUUGGCAAAAUCAAGAAUAAACAGGAAACCAAUGAGCUUUUAUCUAACUGUUGGUGCGAUUAUGAUUGCAUCAAAAAAGCAAACGAUCAACAAGGAGUAGUCAACAAUUAGCUUAUCAACUUUAAUAGCUCAACUUUUUGAAAAGAUUACCUGACAUUCCAGGAAGUUGAUUGUCACCAAUAUCACCAUUGUCAACAUAACACCGUAUUCAUUAUCAAACAUUGUCUUCCCAGUUGAAAGAAGCAAAUAAAAUAAUAAUUAGACAACAAACCAAAAGGGAAAGAAUGGUUACGAUGAAUAUUUUGCUGAUUUUUUUUUCAAUUUUCUUGAUGAAGGACAACCAACAGAUGAUCAUGAUGGUGAUGAUAAGAUGACAUUGAUUUACAUCGAUUAUUCUGAGGUGAAGAUGAAACAUCAACUGCCAAUGACAGUUUUUGGUGUUUGAUUGUUGAAAUCAUUUCAAUGCUAUAUUGUUAUUCACCUUUAUUGUCCAACACUAACAAGACUAAAAUGAAUGGCUAUUCAAGAAAAUGAUUUACAACUCAUGAUGCUGCUCGGAUGAUUGUUGAUGGUUACUCGAUAAUUGAUGAAUGAUUUAUCUUUUUCAACCUUUUCCUAACUGGACAAUUAUUGUGAUGAUUAAUAGUUUUGGUCAAAUUUUUGCGCAUUUAAUUGGACUUUCCUUUCAACUUGAUUUGAUUGACUGAUUAACUUUAGACCCACCUUGUUAACAGUACGUUAAUGUAUGCAAAGUGGAUUAGAUUUAAAAAUGAUUUGUACCUCGUUGCUGUUGAAGGUGGUUUUAAGUCCUUUACCUGAUCCAUAAUAAAAACGAUAUUCGUAAAUGACCUAAAAAUGGUCACAGUGGACACUUCCGGGCUUAUCCUUACAGAUCAACGAAACCAUUAAAAAAAGUGAUCAAGUGAGGAAAGUGAAAGAAGAGGCAAAAAAGGGAAACGCAGAGGAAGAGAUGAAGACGAUGGAGAUCAUGAUGAUGGACAAGAGCAUGAACAUGAUUUAAGAGUUUCUCAUUUUCCUGGUUAAACUAGAUGUAAAAGAAAAGAGCUGUAAAGAAGCUCAGAAAUACUGUAACGUUGGGUUAACAGGUAAACAACAAAAUGUCAGUGAUGUUUUCAUUGGCAUUAGCGUUUUGUAAAUAAGACAAUCAGGAAAAGGAUGAUAAAAGGUGCCAUUUUGAUUGAAAUAGCAAUGGUGAUAGGGAGGAUAAAGGUAAAGAUGAAAGAGUUGAUUGAGAAAUAAUAAAGUGUAAUGAUAAUGGAUCCAUUAGUAGGGAUGAGAAAGAUUUGGCCAAAAAAAGAAGAGGCAACAGAAACAAAAUGAUCCUAGGUCAACGUAUUGUUGAUACUAUGAUAAUAACAUGUUGAUGAAGAGUAAAAAAACAAGCCCGUAUAUUUACCUGGUUACAUGAAAUGAACGAGAGG